UCCAAUAAAGCUGGAGGAGGAAG
rnacentral:piRNA from 1 species